AGAGUUUGAUCAUGGCUCAGAUUGAACGCUGGCGGCAUGCCUUACACAUGCAAGUCGAACGGCAGCGGGGACUUCGGUCCGCCGGCGAGUGGCGAACGGGUGAGUAAUGUAUCGGAACGUACCUUUCAGUGGGGAUAACGUAGCGAAAGUUACGCUAAUACCGCAUAUUCUGUGCGCAGGAAAGCAGGGGAUCGCAAGACCUUGCGCUGAUUGAGCGGCCGAUAUCAGAUUAGCUAGUUGGUGGGGUAAAGGCCUACCAAGGCGACGAUCUGUAGCGGGUCUGAGAGGAUGAUCCGCCACACUGGAACUGAGACACGGUCCAGACUCCUACGGGAGGCAGCAGUGGGGAAUUUUGGACAAUGGGGCAACCCUGAUCCAGCCAUGCCGCGUGAGUGAAGAAGGCCUUCGGGUUGUAAAGCUCUUUCGGCCGGGAAGAAAUCGUAUGGGUUAAUACCCUGUGCGGAUGACGGUACCGGCAUAAGAAGCACCGGCUAACUACGUG
rnacentral:rRNA from 1 species